UGGUAGGCAGGGUGAGAAUCCCAAGGCGCUUGAGAGAACUCGGGUGAAGGAACUAGGCAAAAUGGCACCGUAACUUCGGGAGAAGGUGCGCCUCUUUUGGUGGUGACGUGCGUCACUGAGCUGAGAGAGGUCGCAGUAACCUGGCCGCUGCGACUGUUUACCAAAAACAUAGCACUCUGCAAACACGAAAGUGGACGUAUAGGGUGUGACGCCUGCCCGGUGCCGGAAGG
rnacentral:rRNA from 1 species